rnacentral:rRNA from 1 species
GACCGAGUUGCGGAAAGGGUUCCGUGUGAACAGUAGUUGCACACGGGUGAGUCGAUCCUGAGCUCUAGGGUAGUUCCGCUCCGAGCGGACGCGACAGUGACCAUUCGGCUCCCCCCGCGGACCGGUGGACGUCGCGCCCUGGGGCGAAAGGGAACCGGGUAAAUAUUCCCGGACGCACAGGCAGAGUCCGCCGUGGUUGGCUCGGGGUGUCGUCUCCUCGCGGGGCGGUUCCCGGGUGGGCCCGGACAAAAGCUGUAAAGCGUACUAGCCCGGAGACGCUGACUGGGGCCCCGGGUAGAGUUGUCUUCUCUACUUAAGGAGCAUGUGGUUUCCUGGACCGUGGUUUUUCCUAAGAUAGGGACCUGUUGCUCCGGAGAGCGUCGCACUUGCAGCGGCGUCUGGUGAGCUCCGGUCGGCCCUUGAAAAUCCGGGGGAGUGAAGGACAUACUGUCGGACUCGUGUCUGGUUGUCGUACCGAUAACCGCAGCAGGUCUCCAAGGUGAACAGCCUCUGACCAAACAGAACAAUGUAGGUAAGGGAAGUCGGCAAGCCGGAUCCGUAACUUCGGGAUAAGGAUUGGCUCUGGGGGCUGGGCCGGUCGGGCCGAGUUUCUUGAUGAAGCGGGUCCUGGAGCCCUUCGUGGGCCGAGCAUGCCGGCUAGCGGCGAGCUCGGACUUGCGCGGGGCCCUUCCCGUGGACUGGCUUGGCUGCGUGGUCUUGGGCUACGCGUCGACCGGCGUCCAACAGCCGACUCAGAACUGGCACGGACCAGGGGAAUCCGACUGUCUAAUAAAAACAGAGCAUUGCGACGUUCCGUAAACCGGGUGUUGACGCAAUGUGACUUCUGCCCAGUGCUCUGAAUGUCAAAGUGAAGAAAUUCAAUA